rnacentral:lncRNA from 1 species
GCGUCUUCUGAAUUGCAGUUCUUUCAACUACUCCUGAGUAAACUCAUUGAGCUAGUCUGGUUUUCCAAACGAGCCUGCUGCAGUCAUCGCCCUUAGCACCAUUAAGGAAUGGCUGGCCAAGAAUCAGCACGAGGACACUUUCCAAUCUUGGGUCUCCUGCAUCUGGGAUUUCCAUCUCCGCAGAUAUAUUUUCAGCAUGAAAGUUCAUCUGAGUAUUUCACCUAAAUUUGUGGUGAGUACUUAAUGGAUGAGAAACAAACAGGCAACCAGAAAAUAGGGAAAGCAUCUCUUGGACAAACCUAUUAGCAGAUAAACGUGGCAAUUUUCGAGGGUAACACAGAUGUUCAUUUCAAAAAGUAAGACUGAAAAGGAUG